GCUCUUAAAGAUUAUAAAAGAAAUUCCAAAAUGAAAAAGAAGCUGGAAGUUAUAUUCGAGGAUCUACAACCACAUCUGAUGUUAUAAUUAAUUGAAUGACAAUGUUCUCAUAAAAUAUCAAAGGAGGAAAGCGAAGCAUGGGUCAGUAAUACUUUGAGGGCUACUUUUUGUAAACGAAUGUUUGGUGUUUUCAGUCGUCUUGUACGCAUCUUCCAAAGUCGGAUGGAAUUCUUUUUUUUUUCUUUUUUUUUGGAACACGGAUGGAAUUCUCCUUCUCAUUGUUUAGUCGUAUUCAUCCAUUUCAUUUUCUUCAUUUAUCUAUAAACAACACCAAAAUAAUUAGAGAAAAUAUUGUUUUAGAAUACUAUAAUAUAUUCAGAAAGAUAUAGGUGAUUAGGAGUAAAGAAAAGUCAAAAUUGUUUCGAAGCACUUUAUUAAUACACUGG
rnacentral:lncRNA from 1 species